rnacentral:rRNA from 1 species
UACAGAGGUCCCGAGCGUUGUUCGGAUUCAUUGGGCGUAAAGGGUGCGUAGGCGGCGGGGCAAGUCUGAUGUGAAAUCCCGGGGCUCAACCCCGGAACUACAUUGGAUACUGCCUUGCUCGAGUACUGGAGAGGGAACUGGAAUUUACGGUGUAGCAGUGAAAUGCGUAGAGAUCGUAAGGAAGGCCAGUGGCGAAGGCGAGUUCCUGGACAGUUACUGACGCUGAGGCACGAAGGCCAGGGGAGCAAACGGG